AUUCAUAGUUAAGAAUGCCACCUUGAACAAGCCCAAUCCCGUCUGAUCUCGGAAGCUAAGCAGGGUCGGGCCUGGUUAGUACUUAGAUGGGAGACCACCUAGGAAGACCAGGUGCUGUAGGUG
rnacentral:rRNA from 1 species